GUGAGGAAUAUUGGACAAUGGGCGCAAGCCUGAUCCAGCCAUGCCGCGUGCAGGAAGACGCAUCUAUGGUGUGUAAACUGCUUUUGUACGGGAAGAAACACUCCCUCGUGAGGGAGCUUGACGGUACCGUAAGAAUAAGGAUCGGCUAACUCCGUGCCAGCAGCCGCGGUAAUACGGAGGAUCCAAGCGUUAUCCGGAAUCAUUGGGUUUAAAGGGUCCGUAGGCGGUUGAAUAAGUCAGUGGUGAAAGCCCAUCGCUCAACGAUGGAACGGCCAUUGAUACUGUUAGACUUGAAUUACAAGGAAGUAACUAGAAUAUGUAGUGUAGCGGUGAAAUGCUUAGAUAUUACAUGGAAUACCAAUUGCGAAGGCAGGUUACUACUUGUGGAUUGACGCUGAUGGACGAAAGCGUGGGGAGCGAACAGGAUUAGAUACCCCGGUAGUCC
rnacentral:rRNA from 1 species